UACAGAGGGUGCGAGCGUUGUUCGGAAUUAUUGGGCGUAAAGGGCGCGUAGGCGGUGCGGUAAGUCACCUGUGAAAUCUCCUGGCUCAACUGGGAGCUUGCAGGCGAAACUGCCGUGCUGGAGUGUGGGAGAGGUGCGUGGAAUUACUGGUGUAGCGGUGAAAUGCGCAGAUAUCAGGAGGAACACCAAUGGCGAAGGCAGCUCGCUGGAACGGUACUGACGCUGAGGCGCGAAAGCGUGGGGAGCAAACAGG
rnacentral:rRNA from 1 species